AUGGCAGCCUCCUGCGCCAGCUUCCCUUUGACCGGAUCACCUCCUGAUGACAGCCGCUGUCUGGACUUGUGGAGAACAGCCGAGUGCGUCAGGGACCCUCAGCAAUUCGUCCUGAGGUUUCCAGGGAGUCUGGGUGACACAGGCCGCAUGACGAGGGGACUGGGAUGGAGGAAGGGCAGGCGACUGCGGUCCCAGACGGGACUCGAGGGCCAGGUGCUGCGCCACACGAAGGCAGACGGAGGCUGGUGCUGCUGGGAUACAAGUGCCCGGAGGAGCACCCUUGUGUGUGGUUCUGUGACCUCGCCAGGGUCUGCGCGUGCCUGGUCGCUUUUCAGAGAGUGGGAUUGGUAUAGCUGGGCCCACAAAGUGUUCGGUCCUGGCACACUGCUCAGGGUUACAGAUAAAAAUCCUGAUGAAGACACUUCCCCCAAGCCCACAAUUUUUCUUCCGUCAAUUGCUGAAGUAAACCUCCAUAAGGCUGGAACAUAUCUUUCUCUUCUUGAGGAAUUUUUCCCUGAUGUUAUCGAGAUAGAUUGGAAAGAACAGGAUGGCAAAACAAUUCUGACGUCCCAACAGGGAAACACCAUGAAGACUAAGGACACAUACAUGAAAUACACCUGGCUGACCGUGGGUGAAGAGUCAAUGGGCAAAGAACACAAAUGUAUCGUCAAACACGAGAAGAAUAAAAGAAGGUUUGAACAAGAGAUUCUGUUUCCUUCAAUAAACAAAGAGCUCGCCGCUGUUAACUACACAAAAGCUUCUCGGAAGGAUGAAAAUGACCCCCGGCAGGUGCAGCUCGCGAACACCUCUGCCUACUACACGUACGUCGUCCUCGUCGUCAAGAGCAUGGUCUACACCGUCAUCAUCGCCAUCUGUCUGCUUGGGAGACCAGCACUCUGUGACAAUGGGAAGAGUUUCUAACCCAUGGUGGCACCAAGGGUCCACUUUACUCCUUGACUAUUGUCACUAAAAGAGUCUGUUGAGGAUCUAGAGGGGCUUUCUCUCUGCAUUUGGGUUAUUUCAGUUCACAUGUUUCUUUUUCUAUGUGUCAUCAUUGCAGAACAGGUUUACAAACCGCUAGGCAGACAGGAAAUGUCACUCUGCAUGGAGAACAAUUUCUGCCAUGACUCAGGGAUGGGGCCGGGGGGCAUCCACGGGGGCUUCAGUACCUCUCUAUCCUUCACGUCCACCAGCUCAUCAGCAGCACAGCACCCUCGCCUCUGAGUACACUUGGUGUGCAGCUUCCAUAGAGC